rnacentral:lncRNA from 7 species
AUGUGCUUCGGAUGGAACGAUUCUUGGGAUUCUGUGAUAGAUGCCAUCGAUGUGCUGCCCACCAUCUGUUCUUUUCUUAAGAGAGAUCGAACUGCAGGACUCCAUGCAUCUGUUUCGAUAGGUAAUGGUGUAUUAGAAUUUCAGUUUCAAAUCGAUCGAUGGAAACGAGACAACGAGUCGAUUUAGCAAACAUGGUUGAAUUUAUAUUUAGUGCAAGAAGAAAACAAGUUCGAUCGUUUAGAAACAUAUAUAGACUGGCAGUGGU